GGGGAGUAUCACUUUAAUGUCAGGGCGUACAUGCACUCUUUGGGUAUCAGGAAAUACGUGUAUGUUUGCAAGAAGUCCCUCCCGUGAGUUUGCUUUGGUUUAGUUUGACAGUCAUAGCGACAACGGCCGGCUGACCAAAACAUCACCAGCAGUCCUCCGGUAAGCGUCUGUCCAUCAAUGGCCGAUACUGCCACCAAUACGCAUGGUCAGAAUACAACUGCUGGGAAAGAAGGAGCGACUAACCCGGACUACAUCGCCUUCGUCCUGGUCCCUGUUUUCUUCCUGCUCGGCCUGUUGGGGGUGGUGAUCUGCCACGUGUUGAAGAGUAAGGGCUACCGGUGCACCACUGAGGCCCAUGAUGGGGAGGAGGAGUGUGAGGAAGAGAAGGAUCUCGAGUUUGGUGGAGAAAUGAAUGACACCCUCAGUGAGAACAACGACACAGUGGGGCAGAUUGUCCACUACAUCAUGAAAAAUGAAGCAAACUCAGACGCGCUGAAAGCCAUGGUUCAUGAGACCAGCAUCGACUCUGAUGGUCCUCCACUCACCCCAACCUCUCCUGGCACCCCUCCGCUGACCCCCAUAUCACCGGGUGCACCACCAGGAGCCCCAAAGCACACCUGCAGCCACCUGCACACCAUCGGGGGCCUGGGGGGCCACCAAAACAUCUGCAACCGCUGCAGCCAGAAGAAGUGGCCGCUGAUGAGGAAGCUGUCGGCGCGGAAGGUGGAGAAUCGGCGCAGCCAAUGCGGGGAGGUCACGGUGCUCGCUGUGGGCAGGUGGGCAGGUUCCGGGUGACGAAAUGUGAAAAGCCAGCGCGGGAGAGACGGACGCUGCUGAUUACAGACUCCAACGGGAGCGUUCCUGCGUCCCCGACGGAGGCAGGGCCAAAGAGCCGGACCACCUCCGAGUCCCAGCAGGAGCAGAAGGACGACGUGGACAAGGAGACACGAUAGCAGGAACCGGGGGAGGAAGAAAAACAUCAGGUCCAAACCCUAAACAAGAACAAUAAAUCAUCAGCGCCGGGGGAGCCAAGUGGACCAGGGAGUCGUCCCUCCACAUUCCUGCUCCACGGGGGGGUGGGGGGGGGGAUGAAAAGUAUGCUGAGUAUGGACACAGCGGCGAAAGUGGGCACAUUUUACAAGCAGUAAAGAGGGGUAAAGGUGUGUCCAUUUGUGAUACACUCCAUUUCCCCUUAAAAAGAUUUCCGAUUGUGCCUUGCUCAAGAGCGACUAAGCAUGGGAGGCUGCUAAAUGACACGAAGCCCGAACAAAGGGAAUUCCCGAUGAAGGUUACUCAAUACGCCGAUGAUGUGUGUUCUUUGUGGAGGUAAAGAAGUCAAUUAACGGAUAAAACGACACCCCGGAAAAACAGAUCCGGGCCAUUCCCAAACAGGAGGUAGCCUGUAGAUUAGCGGCGGGUGUGAACAUGACUUGCCUUAUCUUCCAAUCCGACCUCUACUAAAGAUGAGAGUGCAGUAUUCUGUGUCGAACAACCAAUUAGCUUUACCAAACAUGGCGGCCUGCUCGGUGUUGUGUCUUAAAGUGACAGCGUUGUGUUUACCAAAAAAACCUUAAGUCUGUGUACUCAGGCAGGUCAGUCUAGACUUUUUGAAUGUGUCAGAUAGCUAUUACUCAAGAUUUAAACCCCGUUGUUUUUUUAUUUAUGUGUUCUUCACUAGCUCAUAGAGUUGUCAAUGCUAACGUGUUAGCGAACGAGUUCCUGUUUACAGCAUGCUAGCUAAAUCCACAAAAGAUACCAAAGCACAGUAAAUCUCGGCCUUUCUUUUUUGUCAGUCUUUUUUAACACCGGUCACAUGACUUCUUUAUGGAAGUGUAGCCCUUUUAGACCCAAAUAUAUAAUGCUCAAAGAGUAUAUCUUUAGGAAUGUUUUCUUUCAACCGGUCAUUUCAUUGUGUCUCAUUUAAAAACUAAAUAUUUAGAACUGUUGUUAUUCAUAUUUUGGGACAGUUUGCUGUGUUUCUAUCUUUUUAAAGGAAGAAAAUAAAGACGACUAAUACCAA